GACAGAGGCCUCGAGCGUUAGGCGGAAUCACUGGGCUUAAGGCGUGUGUAGGCGGGCCCGUAAGUGUCUUGUGAAAUCCCACGGCCCAACCGUGGAACUGCUGGGCAUACUGCGGGUCUUGGGCCAACUAGGGGCAGCCGGAACAAGCGGUGGAGCGGUGAAAUGCGUAGAUAUCGCUUGGAACGCCGAAGGUGAAAACAGGCUGCUGGGGUUGCGCCGACGCUGAGACACGAAAGCCAGGGGAGCAAACGGG
rnacentral:rRNA from 1 species